rnacentral:lncRNA from 1 species
CAGGACCUGGAAGACUACUACCACUGAGCUGCUGCAUAGACCCCUGAUCUACUUCAACUUAAUUCGCUGAGAUGCUGGUCUGCAGCAGCUGGUUUACCACUGCAGAAGUACCAAAAUAGCAGGAAGCCUUGGCCACAAGUGGGAUUACCAAACUGCUCUCCAACGCCGGCCUCGGUGGCACGCUGCAGAAUAGUUACUUCAUUCAGCACGGCAAGGCUUGUAACCCAAGGCUCCAAUCCCAUGAAGUCAGAACGACUCUUUUGUAUGUUCCCAUAUGUCAUUAGCUUUUAUAAAAAGGAAUCAAAAUGUCAAGCAAAGGGAAGAAAGAAAACAAAUAUAAAUCACUUAAAUGGAGAAUAGAAAGUAAAUAGAAAAAGGGAAAAAGAGGAUGUAACAAAUGCUGUAUGCCUGAAGCAAAAGAACAAACCCUGCAUUUACUUGUGGUAUUCAAGUAGAGAAAAAAUUUCCACUGAUUUCAUUGAGAGCAGAACCAUACCUUGGCUUGGUGCCUGCAAGAUUGCAAGAAAGGAUAUCUAUGUUUUCCAUUUGGAAUAACCUCCGCAUACACAAGUGAUUUCUGAAGAUUCAGUGCUUCUCUGUUUCGUCAGCCCUGCCUAUUGACAAUUUUUCAUCAUCAUCACUCUUGCGUUUAGAAGGGUGUGUGGUUUCGUGAGUGCAUUUCAGGGAUGUUUGGUGACCCAUGCAAUCCUCCUGUGUUUCUGACAACCACUGCCACACUCGUCUCUUCAAGCAGCAAAGCCACCUGCUGGGGUUUCAUCCAGCUUCAAGGUUUUCAGUGGCUACUGAAGUCAUAACAAAACCCAAUACCUUCUCUCCUCAUAACUAAGUCAUGUAUCUAGGGUCAUCUAUAAAUAAUCAAGAUCUCUGCACUCAAAUUAGAACACUGAUUUUCUAUGAGGGCUCUGUGGACUAUUUGAGUUUCGAAAAGUAACUAAGAAAAGCAAUGGUAUGGACAGCAGACUUCCAUCCACCACAGAAGUUUAGUGCUCCUUUGAAAAAAGGAUGUUUGCACAUCAGAACAUUUCAAAGGCCCUACAGACAUAAUCAGGAAGGAAAAAAAAAAAAAUCAGAACUGAAAUGAGACAGAGAGGGAAAGAUGUAAGAAGAGAGGCAGCUGUCCUAAUGGGUCACCAUUACAAAUGAAGAUAAAAUAGAAAUAAAUAGAAAUAAAAUAGACA